UACGAAGGAUCCAAGCGUUAUCCGGAUUUAUUGGGUUUAAAGGGUGCGUAGGCGGGCUAUUAAGUCAGUGGUGAAAGCCCCAAGCUUAACUUGGGAAUUGCCAUUGAUACUGAUUGUCUUGAGUACACUUGAAGUGGGCGGAAUGUGUCAUGUAGCGGUGAAAUGCUUAGAUAUGACAUAGAACACCAAUUGCGAAGGCAGCUGGCUACACAAAUAUUGACACUGAGGCACGAAAGCGUGGGGAUCAAACAGG
rnacentral:rRNA from 1 species